rnacentral:tmRNA from 1 species
GGGGGUGAACGGUUUCGACUCUGGACGUUGAGUCAGGGGAAGCGUGCAGGUGCAGGCGGGAUGACCACCUCAAGCGUCGCCCGCAAACCAAUAAGCGCCAAGACUAACAGUCAGCGCGACUUCGCCCUCGCCGCCUGAGCGAGGCGAAGUCUGUCGGCCCAGGGGCGCCUCCGCCCUGGUCAGCCGGCAUCAGCUAGGAGGCUCACCGCCAGACCCGGUCACGGGGGCUGGUAGGGACACUCACAGUGACUGGGCCCGUCACGUCGGCUUGUUCGCGUGACCGACGGGGCCGAGUAGAGGCAUAGCGAACUGCGCACGGAGAAGUCCUGUCGAGACGACAGAGGACCCGGGUUCGAUUCCCGGCACCUCCACUC